CCUACGGGAGGCAGCAGUGGGGGAUAUUGCACAAUGGGGGAAACCCUGAUGCAGCGACGCCGCGUGGGUGAAGAAGUAUUUCGGUAUGUAAAGCCCUAUCAGCAGGGAAGAAAGAAGACGGUACCUGACUAAGAAGCCCCGGCUAACUACGUGCCAGCAGCCGCGGUAAUACGUAGGGGGCGAGCGUUAUCCGGAUUCACUGGGUGUAAAGGGAGCGUAGACGGCCGUGCAAGCCAGGAGUGAAAGCCCGGGGCCCAACCCCGGGACUGCUCUUGGAACUGUGCGGCUGGAGUGCGGGAGGGGCAGGCGGAAUGCCUGGUGUAGCGGUGAAAUGCGUAGAUAUCAGGAGGAACACCGGCGGCGAAGGCGGCCUGCUGGACCGCGACUGACGUUGAGGCUCGAAAGCGUGGGGAGCGAACAGGAUUAGAUACCCUUGUAGUC
rnacentral:rRNA from 1 species